rnacentral:rRNA from 1 species
GGGUUGUGAGGUUAAGCGACUAAGCGUACACGGUGGAUGCCCUGGCAGUCAGAGGCGAUGAAGGACGUGCUAAUCUGCGAUAAGCGUCGGUAAGGUGAUAUGAACCGUUAUAACCGGCGAUUUCCGAAUGGGGAAACCCAGUGUGAUUCGUCACACUAUCAUUAACUGAAUCCAUAGGUUAAUGAGGCGAACCGGGGGAACUGAAACAUCUAAGUACCCCGAGGAAAAGAAAUCAACCGAGAUUCCCCCAGUAGCGGCGAGCGAACGGGGAGCAGCCCAGAGCCUGAAUCAGUGUGUGUGUUAGUGGAAGCGUCUGGAAAGGCGCGCGAUACAGGGUGACAGCCCCGUACACAAAAAUGCACAUGCUGUGAGCUCGAUGAGUAGGGCGGGACACGUGGUAUCCUGUCUGAAUAUGGGGGGACCAUCCUCCAAGGCUAAAUACUCCUGACUGACCGAUAGUGAACCAGUACCGUGAGGGAAAGGCGAAAAGAACCCCGGCGAGGGGAGUGAAAAAGAACCUGAAACCGUGUACGUACAAGCAGUGGGAGCACAGAGCAAUCUGUGUGACUGCGUACCUUUUGUAUAAUGGGUCAGCGACUUAUAUUCUGUAGCAAGGUUAACCGAAUAGGGGAGCCGAAGGGAAACCGAGUCUUAACUGGGCGUUAAGUUGCAGGGUAUAGACCCGAAACCCGGUGAUCUAGCCAUGGGCAGGUUGAAGGUUGGGUAACACUAACUGGAGGACCGAACCGACUAAUGUUGAAAAAUUAGCGGAUGACUUGUGGCUGGGGGUGAAAGGCCAAUCAAACCGGGAGAUAGCUGGUUCUCCCCGAAAGCUAUUUAGGUAGCGCCUCGUGAAUUCAUCUCCGGGGGUAGAGCACUGUUUCGGCAAGGGGGUCAUCCCGACUUACCAACCCGAUGCAAACUGCGAAUACCGGAGAAUGUUAUCACGGGAGACACACGGCGGGUGCUAACGUCCGUCGUGAAGAGGGAAACAACCCAGACCGCCAGCUAAGGUCCCAAAGUCAUGGUUAAGUGGGAAACGAUGUGGGAAGGCCCAGACAGCCAGGAUGUUGGCUUAGAAGCAGCCAUCAUUUAAAGAAAGCGUAAUAGCUCACUGGUCGAGUCGGCCUGCGCGGAAGAUGUAACGGGGCUAAACCAUGCACCGAAGCUGCGGCAGCGACGCUUAUGCGUUGUUGGGUAGGGGAGCGUUCUGUAAGCCUGCGAAGGUGUGCUGUGAGGCAUGCUGGAGGUAUCAGAAGUGCGAAUGCUGACAUAAGUAACGAUAAAGCGGGUGAAAAGCCCGCUCGCCGGAAGACCAAGGGUUCCUGUCCAACGUUAAUCGGGGCAGGGUGAGUCGACCCCUAAGGCGAGGCCGAAAGGCGUAGUCGAUGGGAAACAGGUUAAUAUUCCUGUACUUGGUGUUACUGCGAAGGGGGGACGGAGAAGGCUAUGUUGGCCGGGCGACGGUUGUCCCGGUUUAAGCGUGUAGGCUGGUUUUCCAGGCAAAUCCGGAAAAUCAAGGCUGAGGCGUGAUGACGAGGCACUACGGUGCUGAAGCAACAAAUGCCCUGCUUCCAGGAAAAGCCUCUAAGCAUCAGGUAACAUCAAAUCGUACCCCAAACCGACACAGGUGGUCAGGUAGAGAAUACCAAGGCGCUUGAGAGAACUCGGGUGAAGGAACUAGGCAAAAUGGUGCCGUAACUUCGGGAGAAGGCACGCUGAUAUGUAGGUGAAGCGACUUGCUCGUGGAGCUGAAAUCAGUCGAAGAUACCAGCUGGCUGCAACUGUUUAUUAAAAACACAGCACUGUGCAAACACGAAAGUGGACGUAUACGGUGUGACGCCUGCCCGGUGCCGGAAGGUUAAUUGAUGGGGUUAGCGCAAGCGAAGCUCUUGAUCGAAGCCCCGGUAAACGGCGGCCGUAACUAUAACGGUCCUAAGGUAGCGAAAUUCCUUGUCGGGUAAGUUCCGACCUGCACGAAUGGCGUAAUGAUGGCCAGGCUGUCUCCACCCGAGACUCAGUGAAAUUGAACUCGCUGUGAAGAUGCAGUGUACCCGCGGCAAGACGGAAAGACCCCGUGAACCUUUACUAUAGCUUGACACUGAACAUUGAGCCUUGAUGUGUAGGAUAGGUGGGAGGCUUUGAAGUGUGGACGCCAGUCUGCAUGGAGCCGACCUUGAAAUACCACCCUUUAAUGUUUGAUGUUCUAACGUGGACCCGUAAUCCGGGUUGCGGACAGUGUCUGGUGGGUAGUUUGACUGGGGCGGUCUCCUCCUAAAGAGUAACGGAGGAGCACGAAGGUUGGCUAAUCCUGGUCGGACAUCAGGAGGUUAGUGCAAUGGCAUAAGCCAGCUUGACUGCGAGCGUGACGGCGCGAGCAGGUGCGAAAGCAGGUCAUAGUGAUCCGGUGGUUCUGAAUGGAAGGGCCAUCGCUCAACGGAUAAAAGGUACUCCGGGGAUAACAGGCUGAUACCGCCCAAGAGUUCAUAUCGACGGCGGUGUUUGGCACCUCGAUGUCGGCUCAUCACAUCCUGGGGCUGAAGUAGGUCCCAAGGGUAUGGCUGUUCGCCAUUUAAAGUGGUACGCGAGCUGGGUUUAGAACGUCGUGAGACAGUUCGGUCCCUAUCUGCCGUGGGCGCUGGAGAACUGAGGGGGGCUGCUCCUAGUACGAGAGGACCGGAGUGGACGCAUCACUGGUGUUCGGGUUGUCAUGCCAAUGGCACUGCCCGGUAGCUAAAUGCGGAAGAGAUAAGUGCUGAAAGCAUCUAAGCACGAAACUUGCCCCGAGAUGAGUUCUCCCUGACCCUUUAAGGGUCCUGAAGGAACGUUGAAGACGACGACGUUGAUAGGCCGGGUGUGUAAGCGCAGCGAUGCGUUGAGCUAACCGGUACUAAUGAACCGUGAGGCUUAACCUUACAACGCCGAAGGUGUUU